rnacentral:rRNA from 1 species
GACAGAGGGGGCAAGCGUUGCUCGGAAUUACUGGGCGUAAAGGGCGCGUAGGCGGGAUGGCAAGUCGGUCGUGAAAUCCCUCGGCUCAACUGAGGAUCGUCGAUCGAUACUGCCGUUCUUGAGGAUUGCAGAGGAGACUGGAAUUCCCGGUGUAGCGGUGAAAUGUGUAGAGAUCGGGAGGAACACCGGUGGCGAAGGCGGUUCUCUGGGCCUUACCUGACGCUGAGGAGCGAAAGCGUGGGGAGCGAACAGG